GUGGCUGUGUAUUUCACCCAUGGGGAGUGGACGCUGCUGUCCCCAGCCCAAAGAGCUCUGUACAAGGAAGUCAUGCUGGAGAAUUUUGGGAAUGUGGCCUCUCUGGGAUAUCAGAUUGACAAACCUGAGCUUAUAUCCUGGCUGGAGGAAGAGGAGGAACUGUUUGUCUGGGACUGUGAUGAACUGGAAGAAUUGACAGCAGGAGGUGUGCGGGAGUCAGGGAAUGAAACAAAGGUGCAUCCGGUGAUGGAGAAAGAAGAUGCAUAUCCAGAUGUGAAAGAGAAUUAUGAAUAUUGUGAUG